rnacentral:rRNA from 1 species
AUUGAACGCUGGCGGCAUGCCUAACACAUGCAAGUCGAACGAGUGGCGGACGGGUGAGUAAUGUCUGGGAAACUGCCUGAUGGAGGGGGAUAACUACUGGAAACGGUAGCUAAUACCGCAUACCAUCAGAUGUGCCCAGAUGGGAUUCGCUUGUUGGUGGGGUAACGGAUCACCAAGGCGACGAUCCCUAGCUGGUCUGAGAGUAUGACCAGCCACGCUGGAACUGUGACACGGGCCAGACUACUACGGGGGGAAGCAGUGGGGAAGAUUGCACAAUGGGCGCAAGCCUGAUGCAGCCAUUCCGCGUGGAUGAAGAAGGCCUUCGGGUUGUAAAGUACUUUCAGCGGGGAGGCGUUACCCGCAGAAGAAGCACCGGCUAACUCCGUGCCAGGAGACGAGGAAAUAC